rnacentral:lncRNA from 1 species
CCCAUUAGUUUAAUUUUCUUUGGGAGGCUGAAGGGAUUUCACAAAGCAUAUACUUGUUCCUUCAAGGAAAGAAGAGAAUGGAAGAUGAAUGGAGCAAGGAAAAAAUACCAACAUCAUCAUCAUCAUCAUAGCUGCCAUCAUUCACUGAGUGCCUCGUCUGCACCCAGCAAAGUGUGUGCAUUAUCCUAUUUAAGGCAAGGAGCUAUAACGAUGUGA